UACGGAGGGAGCUAGCGUUAUUCGGAAUUACUGGGCGUAAAGCGCACGUAGGCGGCUUUGUAAGUAAGAGGUGAAAGCCCAGAGCUCAACUCUGGAAUUGCCUUUUAGACUGCAUCGCUUGAAUCAUGGAGAGGUCAGUGGAAUUCCGAGUGUAGAGGUGAAAUUCGUAGAUAUUCGGAAGAACACCAGUGGCGAAGGCGGCUGACUGGACAUGUAUUGACGCUGAGGCGCGAAAGCGUGGGGAGCAAACAGG
rnacentral:rRNA from 1 species